CCUUCGGCGUCCGAGUUGUAAUUUGCAGAGGAUGCUUCGGCGUGGGCGCCGCCCAAAGUUCCUUGGAACGGGACGUCGCAGAGGGUGAGAGCCCCGUGUUCGGGCGGAUGCCCCCGCCGUGUGAAGCUCCUUCGACGAGUCGAGUUGUUUGGGAAUGCAGCUCAAAACGGGAGGUAAAUUUCUUCUAAAGCUAAAUACCGGCCGGAGACCGAUAGUGCACAAGUAGAGUGAUCGAAAGAUGAAAAGCACUUUGGAAAGAGAGUCAAACAGCGCGUGAAAUUGUUGAAAGGGAAGCGCUUGCGGUCAGAACUUGGCCGCCGUUGCUCGGGGAGGUCUCGCGCCUCCCUCGCUCUUCGGCGGCUGGGCCAGCAUCGGUUCGGGCGGCUCGAUAAAGGCCGCGGGAACGUAGCUCCCUCCGGGGAGUGUUAUAGCCCGCGGCGGAAUGGGGCCCGCCUGGAUCGAGGUCUGCGCAUCUGCUCGGAUGCUGGCGUAAUGGCCUCAAGCGGCCCGUCUUGAAACACGGACCAAGGAGUCUAACAUUCGUGCGAGUGUUCGGGUGUCAAACCCGUGCGCGCAAUGAAAGUGAACGUAGGUGGGAACCCCUCGCGGGGCGCACCAUCGACCGAUCCUAAUGUCUUCGGAUGGAUUUGAGUAUGAGCACGUAUGUUGGGACCCGAAAGAUGGUGAACUAUGCCUAAGCAGGGCGAAGCCAGAGGAAACUCUGGUGGAGGCUCGCAGCGGUUCUGACGUGCAAAUCGAUCGUCAAAUUUGGGUAUAGGGGCGAAAGACUAAUCGAACCAUCUAGUAGCUGGUUCCUGCCGAAGUUUCCCUCAGGAUAGCAGCAACGUAGGCAGUUUUAUGAGGUAAAGCGAAUGAUUAGAGGCCUGGGGGUUGUAACAACCUUCACCUAUUCUCAAACUUUAAAUGUGUAAGAAGUCCUUGUUACUUAGUUGAACGUGGACAUUCGAAUGCAACGUUGCUAGUGGGCCAUUUUUGGUAAGCAGAACUGGCGAUGCGGGAUGAACCGAACGCGAUGUUAAGGUGCCAGAAUGCACGCUCAUCAGACACCACAAAAGGUGUUAGUUCAUCUAGACAGCAGGACGGUGGCCAUGGAAGUCGGAAUCCGCUAAGGAGUGUGUAACAACUCACCUGCCGAAUGAACUAGCCCUGAAAAUGGAUGGCGCUCAAGCGUGCUACCUAUACAUCGCCGCCGGGGUG
rnacentral:rRNA from 1 species